rnacentral:rRNA from 1 species
UACGUAGGAUGCAAGCGUUAUCCGGAAUGAUUGGGCGUAAAGCGUCCGCAGGUGGCUAUGUAAGUCUGCUGUUAAAGAGUCUAGCUCAACUAGAUAAGAGCAGUGGAAACUACAUGGCUAGAGUGCGUUCGGGGCAGAGGGAAUUCCUGGUGUAGCGGUGAAAUGCGUAGAGAUCAGGAAGAACACCGGUGGCGAAGGCGCUCUGCUAGGCCGCAACUGACACUGAGGGACGAAAGCUAGGGGAGCGAAUGGG